GCCCGCUCAGAAACUUAAAUGAAUUCGAGGGGCCCGCACAAGCGGUGGAGCAUGUGGUUUAAUUCGAUGGUACGCGAGGAACCUUACCAGGGCUUGACAUACGUUGGAAGCGCAUCGAAAGGUGCGUGCCGCUUGCGGCCGGCGUACAGGUGCUGCAUGGCUGUCGUCAGCUCGUGCUGUGAAGUGUUGGGUUAAGUCCCGCAAACGAGCGCAACCCCUGCUGCCUGUUGCCACCACGAGAGGUGGGGACUCAGGCGGGACCGCCGGUGACAAACCGGAGGAAGGUGGGGACGACGUCAAGUCAUCAUGGCCCUUAUGUCCUGGGCUACACACGUGCUACAAUGGCCGGUACAGAGCGCAGCGAGGCCGCGAGGCGGAGCGAAUCGCUUAAAGCCGGUCCCAGUACGGAUUGGAGUCUGCAACCCGACUCCAUGAAGUUGGAAUCGCUAGUAAUCGCGCAUCAGCAUGGCGCGGUGAAUACGUUCCCGGGCCUU
rnacentral:rRNA from 1 species